rnacentral:rRNA from 1 species
CCCUUAGAUGUUCUGGGCGGCCCGCGCACUACAAUGGCGUGUGCAGCGAGUGCCGAAGUAGAGUUUUCCGAGGUAUUCUUGCAAUGCUCGUUUUGAUGGGGAUGGACCCUUGCAACUGUUGGUUUUGAACGAGGAAUUCCUUGUAAGCAUGGUUUAUCAUCCGACGCUGAAUGCGUCCCUGCCCUUUGUACACACCGCCCGUCGCUCCUACCGAUGAGUCGUCCGGUGAAGUUCGUAGACCUCGUGAUCGCGGAUCACUGGGGGAAGCAAAAUGAACCUCGCGGGUUAGAGGAAGGAGAAGUCGUAACA